AUUCUGUUAAAAAUUCGAGCGGUGGUUUGCCAACACUAUGCCAUUAACGGACAUGAUCAUAGUUAUUGUGUCAAGAAGGCUUACCCGUGUUUUCAAUAGACGUAGCGAUUCUCCUUUGUUUUUCCUUAUUCUUUCUCCAAAUGUUUAGGUAGAAUUUUCACUUUUCAGAACUUUUAGGACAAAAAUAUUUCAUUUUCGUUCUUUCAUAUUUAACUCAUCUUGUGCCAACUGGGAAAACAAUUUGCCGACUGGAAGACUAGAAGAAAACUAUUUGCCGACUGAUUGACGAGUGAAAGCGGUGACUCCCUCCCCCCCACACACACACACACACCGUCUAGCACCGCCCUUGCUUGAAGUUCCAUUUCCCUCUUUUCGUCUCCCGGUGUCUUAUUUCUUUGUCAAAACAUUUGGGAAUGCGACUAUAUUUCUACGUCUAUUACUGCUAAAAUGUCAAACUAUAUAUAUUAUUAGCUAAUAUCUCAGCAAUUGCAAAUUGUCGAUUUCACGAUGUUAGGAGUCCUAAUCCGCUAUUCCGCUGUUUUGGUAAUAUGGACUGGAUAGAUUCCUUGUGUUCAGGUAUGACACAUCUACGGAACAACCCGUAUAAAAGAACUAAAAAGUAACAAUAUAAUUUUAAAACAACAACAACAAUAACAAUAACAAUAACAAUAACAA